rnacentral:rRNA from 1 species
UACGAAGGGUGCAAACGUUGCUCGGAAUUACUGGGCGUAAAGCGUGCGUAGGUGGUUUGUUAAGUCUGAUGUGAAAGCCCUGGGCUCAACCUGGGAAUUGCAUUGGAUACUGGCAGGCUAGAGUGCGGUAGAGGAUGGCGGAAUUCCCGGUGUAGCAGUGAAAUGCGUAGAGAUCGGGAGGAACAUCUGUGGCGAAGGCGGCCAUCUGGACCAGCACUGACACUGAGGCACGAAAGCGUGGGGAGCAAACAGG